GUUUUAAUAAUUUAAUAAAAAUAUUGAUCUUGUAAAUCAAAAAUAAAGAAAUAUCUUUUUAAAACA
rnacentral:tRNA from 1 species